rnacentral:rRNA from 1 species
GACGAACGCUGGCGGCGUGCCUAACACAUGCAAGUCGAACGGAGUAAAGAGCUUCGGUUUUCUACUUAGUGGCGAACGGGUGAGUAACGCGUGAGGAACCUGCCUUCCAGUGGGGGACAACAGUUGGAAACGACUGCUAAUACCGCAUGAUACUAUUGAGUGGCAUCACUUGAUAGUCAAAGAUUUAUCGCUGAGAGAUGGGCUCGCGUCCAAUUAGCUAGAUGGUGAGGUAACGGCUCACCAUGGCGACGAUUGGUAGCCGGACUGAGAGGUUGAACGGCCACAUUGGGACUGAGACACGGCCCAGACUCCUACGGGAGGCAGCAGUGGGGAAUCUUCCGCAAUGGACGAAAGUCUGACGGAGCAAUGCCGCGUGAGUGAUGAAGGUUUUCGGACCGUAAAGCUCUUUUGUUAAGGAAGAACUGUACGAUUAGGAAAUGAGUCGUAUUUGACGGUACUUAACUAGAAAGCCCCGGCUAACUAUGUGCCAGCAGCCGAC